AACGAACGCUGGCGGCAUGCCUAACACAUGCAAGUCGAACGAGACCUUCGGGUCUAGUGGCGCACGGGUGCGUAACGCGUGGGAACCUGCCCUUAGGUUCGGAAUAACUCCCCGAAAGGGGUCUAAUACCGGAUAAUGUCUUCGGACCAAAGAUUUAUCGCCUUUGGAUGGGCCCGCGUUGGAUUAGCUAGUUGGUAGGGUAAAAGCCUACCAAGGCGACGAUCCAUAGCUGGUCUGAGAGGAUGAUCAGCCACACUGGGACUGAGACACGGCCCAGACUCCUACGGGAGGCAGCAGUGGGGAAUAUUGGACAAUGGGCGAAAGCCUGAUCCAGCAAUGCCGCGUGAGUGAUGAAGGCCUUAGGGUUGUAAAGCUCUUUUACCCGGGAUGAUAAUGACAGUACCGGGAGAAUAAGCUCCGGCUAACUCCGUG
rnacentral:rRNA from 1 species